GUGGGGAAUAUUGGACAAUGGGCGCAAGCCUGAUCCAGCCAUGCCGCGUGAGUGAUGAAGGCCUUAGGGUUGUAAAGCUCUUUCAGUGGGGACGAUAAUGACGGUACCCACAGAAGAAGCCCCGGCUAACUUCGUGCCAGCAGCCGCGGUAAUACGAAGGGGGCUAGCGUUGUUCGGAUUUACUGGGCGUAAAGCGCACGUAGGCGGAUCGUUAAGUCGGGGGUGAAAUCCUGGAGCUCAACUCCAGAACUGCCUUCGAUACUGGCGAUCUUGAGUCCGGAAGAGGUGAGGGGAACUCCUAGUGUAGAGGUGGAAUUCGUAGAUAUUAGGAAGAACACCAGUGGCGAAGGCGGCUCACUGGUCCGGUACUGACGCUGAGGUGCGAAAGCGUGGGGAGCAAACAGGAUUAGAAACCCGUGUAGUCC
rnacentral:rRNA from 1 species